rnacentral:rRNA from 1 species
UACGUAGGGUGCGAGCGUUAAUCGGAAUACUGGGCGUAAAGCGUGCGCAGGCGGUUCGUUGUGUCGGCGGUGAAAGCCCCGGGCUUAACCUGGGAAUGGCCGUUGAAACUGGCGAACUGGAGUGUGGCAGAGGGGGGUGGAAUUCCGCGUGUAGCAGUGAAAUGCGUAGAGAUGCGGAGGAACACCGAUGGCGAAGGCAGCCCCCUGGGCUAACACUGACGCUCAGGCACGAAAGCGGUGGGAGCAAACAGG